AUUGAACGCUGGCGGCAGGCCUAACACAUGCAAGUCGAGCGGAGCGGCGGACGGGUGAGUAAUGCCUAGGAAUCUGCCUGGUAGUGGGGGAUAACGUCCGGAAACGGGCGCUAAUACCGCAUACUAUCAGAUGAGCCUAGGGCGGAUUAGCUAGUUGGUGGGGUAAAGUCCUCCCAAGGCGACGAUCCGUAACUGGUCUGAGAGGAUGAUCAGUCACACUGGAACUGAGACACGGUCCAUGCUCCUACGGUAGGCCGCAGUUGGGAAUAUUGUCCAAUGGGCGAAAGCCUGAUCCAGCCAUGCCGCGUGUGUGAAGAAGGUCUUCGGAUUGUAAAGCACUUUAAGUUAGGAGGCGUUACCAACAGAAUAAGCACCGGCUAACUUCGUGCCAGCAGCCGCGGUAAUUC
rnacentral:rRNA from 1 species